rnacentral:rRNA from 1 species
CUGUCCCAGUUCGGACUGGAGUCUGCAACCCGACUCCACGAAGUUGGAUUCGCUAGUAAUCGCGCAUCAGCCAUGGCGCGGUGAAUACGUUCCCGGGCCUUGUACACACCGCCCGUCAAGCCAUGGGAGCCGGGGGCGCCUGAAGUCCGGGACCGCGAGGACCGGCCUAGGGCGAAACUGGUAACUGGGGCUAAGUCGUAACAAGGUAUC